UUGUAAACCCCAUCAUGGAUCAAACUAUGUCUAAUAAAGUCAAUUCCAAUUAAGAGAAAAUCUUAUUCUCUUCUAGAUAUGUUAAAAACUCAUCGAAAAAAUAUUCACCUCCUUGGUCUGAUCGAAGAGUUUCAAUGUUCUUCCCAGUAUGUUUUUCUAUCUUAUUAAGGAAUUAUUUGAAUAUUUUAAAUAAUCUAAAUUUAUGACAAAUAUGUUCGUAGAUCCAAUACAUCAGUAUGUAUCUGACUCAAAAUAUCAUU
rnacentral:lncRNA from 1 species